rfam:Schistosoma mansoni strain Puerto Rico chromosome 3, complete genome
AUCCAGUUGACGAGUGUUGAAUAGGACGAAACGCGCGUCCAGGAU